rnacentral:rRNA from 1 species
CUACGGGGUGCUGCAGUGAGGAAUUUUGCGCAAUGGGGGAAACCCUGACGCAGCAACGCCGCGUGAGCGAAGAAGGCCUUCGGGUCGUAAAGCUCUGUCAAGUGGGAAAAAAAUCUUUUGAUCAGUAGUCAAAAGACUUGAUGGUACCACUGGAGGAAGCACCGGCUAACUCCGUGCCAGCAGCCGCGGUAAUACGGAGGGUGCAAGCGUUGUUCGGAUUUACUGGGCGUAAAGAGCGUGUAGGCGGUUUAGCAAGUCAGAUGUGAAAGCCCUGGGCUCAACCCGGGAAGUGCAUUUGAAACUGCUUCACUAGAGUAUGGGAGAGGAGAUUGGAAUUCCUGGUGUAGAGGUGAAAUUCGUAGAUAUCAGGAGGAACACCCGUGGCGAAGGCGAUUCUCUGGACCAAUACUGACGCUGAGACGCGAAAGCGUGGGGAGCAAACAGGAUUAGAUACCCUCGUAGUC